AACAGGAUUAGAUACCCUGGUAGUCCACGCCGUAAACGAUGUCGACUUGGAGGUUGUGCCCUUGAGGCGUGGCUUCCGGAGCUAACGCGUUAAGUCGACCGCCUGGGGAGUACGGCCGCAAGGUUAAAACUCAAAUGAAUUGACGGGGGCCCGCACAAGCGGUGGAGCAUGUGGUUUAAUUCGAUGCAACGCGAAGAACCUUACCUACUCUUGACAUCCAGAGAACUUAGCAGAGAUGCUUUGGUGCCUUCGGGAACUCUGAGACAGGUGCUGCAUGGCUGUCGUCAGCUCGUGUUGUGAAAUGUUGGGUUAAGUCCCGCAACGAGCGCAACCCUUAUCCUUUGUUGCCAGCGGUCCGGCCGGGAACUCAAAGGAGACUGCCAGUGAUAAACUGGAGGAAGGUGGGGAUGACGUCAAGUCAUCAUGGCCCUUACGAGUAGGGCUACACACGUGCUACAAUGGCAUAUACAAAGAGAAGCGACCUCGCGAGAGCAAGCGGACCUCAUAAAGUAUGUCGUAGUCCGGAUUGGAGUCUGCAACUCGACUCCAUGAAGUCGGAAUCGCUAGUAAUCGUGGAUCAGAAUGCCACGGUGAAUACGUUCCCGGGCCUUGUACACACCGCCCGUCACACCAUGGGAGUGGGUUGCAAAAGAAGUAGGUAGCUUAACCUUCGGGAGGGCGCUUACCACUUUGUGAUUCAUGACUGGGGUGAAGUCGUAACAAGGUAACC
rnacentral:rRNA from 1 species